rnacentral:misc_RNA from 1 species
GCAAACUUGGUCAUUUAGAGGAAGUAAAAGUCGUAACAAGGUUUCCGUAGGUGAACCUGCGGAAGGAUCAUUAUUGAAUUGUUAGGGAGGUUGUCGCUGGCUUGUUAUGAGCAUGUGCACGCCUUCUAUGCAUUCAUAUCUACCCCUCUGUGCACUCUUUGUAGACUUGGAGAUAACUCUCAACCUAGUUGGAUGGAGGAUGAUGCAUUUCAUAUGCUCGUCUUCAAUUUCACAAGUCUAUGCUUUCAUAUACUCGAAUGUUUUGAAUGUUAUUCUUGUACUGGUCUUUGUACCUUUAUAAGCUUAUAUACAACUUUCAGCAACGGAUCUCUUGGCUCUCGCAUCGAUGAAGAACGCAGC